rnacentral:rRNA from 1 species
GACGAACGCUGGCGGCGUGCUUAACACAUGCAAGUCGAACGAGUGGCGAACGGGUGAGUAACACGUGGGUGACCUGCCCUGCACUUCGGGAUAAGCCUGGGAAACUGGGUCUAAUACCGGAUAGUGUGGGAUGGGUCCGCGGCCUAUCAGCUUGUUGGUGGGGUAAUGGCCUACCCAGGCGGCGACGGGUAGCCGGUCUGAGAGGAUGACCAGCCACACUGGAACUGAGACACGGUCCAGACUCCUACGGGAGGCAGCAGUGGGGAAUAUUGCACAAUGGGCGCAAGCCUGAUGCAGCCAUGCCGCGUGUGUGAAGAAGGCCUCGGGUUGUAAAGCACUUUCAGCGAGGAGGCGUUACUCGCAGAAGAAGCACCGGCUAACUCCGUGCCAGCAGCCGCGGUAAUAC